GACGAACGCUGGCGGCGUGCUUAACACAUGCAAGUCGAACGGAAAGGCCCUGCUUUUGUGGGUUGCUCGAGUGGCGAACGGGUGAGUAACACGUGAGUAACCUGCCCUUUACUUUGGGAUAACUUCAGGAAACUGGUGCUAAUACCGGAUAUGAGCUCCUGCUGCAUGGUGGGGGUUGGAAAGUUUCGGCGGUUGGGGAUGGACUCGCGGCUUAUCAGCUUGUUGGUGGGGUAGUGGCUUACCAAGGCUUUGACGGGUAGCCGGCCUGAGAGGGUGACCGGGCACAAUGGGACUGAGGGACGGCCCAGAGGGCAAAGGGAGGCAGUAGGGGGGAAUAUUGCACAGUGGGCGGAAGCCUGGUGCAGAAACGUCGGGGUCGGGAUGACGGCCUUUGGGUUGUAAAAAGCUUUCGGCUGUGACGAAGCGUGAGUGACGGUAAUGGGUAAAGAAGCACCGGCUAACUACGUG
rnacentral:rRNA from 1 species